rnacentral:rRNA from 1 species
AGAGUUUGAUCCUGGCUCAGGACGAACGCUGGCGGCGUGCUUAACACAUGCAAGUGGUGCGACGAACCAGGGCUUGCCCUGGGGCAAAGCCGCGAACGGGUGAGUAACACGUGAGUAACCUGCCCCGAUGACCGGGACAACCCGAGGAAACUCGGGCUAAUACCGGAUGUGGCGCACAGAAUUAAGCCUGUGCGCUAAAGGAAGCUUCGGCCUCCGCAUUGGGAGGGGCUCGCGGCCCAUUAGCUUGUUGGUGGGGUAACGGCCUACCAAGGCAACGAUGGGUAGCUGGUCUGAGAGGACGAUCAGCCACACUGGGACUGAGACACGGCCCAGACUCCUACGGGAGGCAGCAGUGGGGAAUCUUGCGCAAUGCGCGAAAGCGUGACGCAGCAACGCCGCGUGGGGGAAGACGGCCUUCGGGUUGUAAACCCCUUUCAGGAGGGACGAAGGUUCACCGGUGAAUAGCCGUGUGGAUUGACGGUACCUCCAGAAGAAGCUCCGGCUAACUACGUGCCAGCAGCCGCGGUAAUACGUAGGGAGCAAGCGUUGUCCGGAAUCAUUGGGCGUAAAGCGCGCGUAGGCGGCCCUGUAAGUCCGUUGUGAAAGUCAAAGGCUCAACCUUUGAAAGCCGAUGGAUACUGCAGGGCUAGAGUCCGGAAGAGGCGAGUGGAAUUCCUGGUGUAGCGGUGGAAUGCGCAGAUAUCAGGAGGAACACCAAUAGCGAAGGCAGCUCGCUGGGACGGUACUGACGCUAAGGCGCGAAAGCGUGGGGAGCGAACAGGAUUAGAUACCCUGGUAGUCCACGCCGUAACGAUGGGCACUAGGUGUGGG